CUUUCAAUCUCCAGCGAAGAUUAGAGUUUGCAGAUUUGAUCUAUAAUUUGUCUAGAUUAGAGCAGGAUUUAUUGUACAAAAGAAUCUUCAAAGUAUACAUAUAUUUUUGAGCUCCUCUGUAAUUCUUUGUACUCUUUAUAUUGUGUGAUCUUUGGUAGAAUGAAUCUAUUUACUUAUUAAAAAAACACAUGUAUACAAGAUUCAAUUCAUUACUUUUUUAAGUCAUAAGAUUAUCAUAAAUUAGAAUCGCAAAUAACACCACUCUAAACAUAAUACCCAGAAAUGAAACCAAAGGGAAAAAGCAGCAUCAUGUACCUGAAUUAAUUGGUGAAUAGGUAGAUCAGAAGCAGCUGAACCAAUUAUCAGAACACCUCUGUGA
rnacentral:misc_RNA from 1 species